GAAGUCGUAACAAGGUUUCCGUAGGUGAACCUGCGGAAGGAUCAUUU
rnacentral:ncRNA from 1 species